rnacentral:rRNA from 1 species
AUUGAACGCUGGCGGCAGGCCUAACACAUGCAAGUCGAACGAGUGGCGGACGGGUGAGUAAUGUCUGGGAAACUGCCCGAUGGAGGGGGAUAACUACUGGAAACGGUAGCUAAUACCGCAUACCAUCGGAUGUGCCCAGAUGGGAUUAGCUAGUAGGUGGGGUAACGGCUCACCGAGGCGACGAUCCCUAGCUGGGCUGAGAGGAGGACCAGCCACACUGGAACUGGGACACGGUCCAGACUCCUACGUGAGGCAGCAGUUGUGAAUAUUGAACAAUGGGCGCAAUCCUGAUGCAGCCAUGCCGCGUGUAUGAAGAAGGCCUUCGGGUUGGAAAGUACUUUCAGCGGGGAGGCGUUACCCGCAGAAGAAGCACCGGCUAACUCCGUGCCAGCAGCCGCGGUAAUAC